ACUUUAAUUUUCCGUGUAAGCAAGCGAGGCGCAACGUGGUUCCGUGGUGUCCCCAUGUCAUCUAUUUUUUAUUUAUUUAUUCUUUUUAAAAAAUAGCGUGGUACUUGUUCUUCUUCCCUGUUAAUCUGGUACUGCUCAAUUCUGAAGUGUGUGUGUGUGUGUGUCUCCCAACCAACUACCAAUGGCGACGAUUUCAUUAGCAAAUGGUUUGAAAAGUCUGUUCAGUGUUUUGGGAGCUCUCAUGCUUGCUACCCUUCUUUACACUCUCUUCACUGAUGGUUCCCCCUUCCGCAAACAACUCCUCACUCCGUGGAUGAUUGCAACUUUGAUUGAUUUCUAUAUCAACGUUACUGUUUUGAGUGCCUGGAUUACUUACAAGGAAAAAAGUUGGGUCAGUUCAAUUCCGUGGAUAAUUUUACUUAUCUGCUUUGGAAGCAUUGCUACAUCUGCCUAUAUUGUUGUGCAAUUUUGGAAGCUGUCAUCUCAAGAAUCUUCACAGGACCCUAUGUAUUAUGUUCUAUUGCGUCAUCCACACAAGAGCGGCACAGAACCAAAAUCAAAGCAAUAUGCUGUUGCAACUCUAAGAAUCCUUUUCAGUGUUUUGGGUUUUGUCAUGCUUGGAACCUUGGUAUACACUCUUGUCACCGAUGGUUCUCCUUUCCGUAAAGAGCUAUUGACUCCGUGGAUGGCGGCAACGCUAGUUGACUUCUACAUCAAUGUUGCAGCUCUAGCAGUCUGGGUUGCCUACAAAGAAUCUAGUUGGAUUUAUGCGGUCUUGUGGGUGAUCCUGUUGAUAUGUUUUGGCAGCAUUACUUCUUGCGCCUACGUAGUAUGGCAGCUGUUCCAGAUAUCUUGUCAAGAUCCUGCUUACCUUAUUUUAGUGCAUUAUAGUGACAGAAACAGCAAUGAUUAUUGAUGGUAGGGCAGAAAACAAAUAUAAGGGGCUUUCUGGUGAGGCAACAUAGCAAUUGUGUUAUUGAACAAAAGGCGUGGAAACAAAAAGGGACCCGUAAUCCCUGGGAAGACAGAAAACUAACAUAGUGAUGAAAUUGAAGUCUGGAAAUGUCUCUGUAAAAACACUAGCAGGCAGCUGGACAAUGUCAUUCUCCUCAAAAUAAAUGAAACACAGUUAUAUUGCUAGUAGUUGCUGACUUCUAUUUCGAUGUGUUAUAUAUGCUCAGUUUUAAUUAUAAUGUUUAAAGUUUAAACAUCAGAAUAGGAGAGAAUCUUUAGAUCACAAGUUUCUAUUAAUUUGUUACUACCACUUGCAUUUUUAACUGUAUUUUUAAUCUUUUAAGUUUUAACAAAAUUGAAAACAUAUAUCCUUCUAAGUUUAAUGUGCAGAAACCACCUACGUAAUUUAGGAGAAAUGUGUUUGCUGCUUGAUUUAGAACUAAUUCUCUUAACUCUUGGACCACAGUUAAAUAGCAGUAAGACAGUGAUAUUGCAGUUGUUGA